rnacentral:rRNA from 1 species
GACGAACGCUGGCGGCGUGCUUAACACAUGCAAGUCGAACGGAAAGGCCCUGCUUUUGUGGGGUGCUCGAGUGGCGAACGGGUGAGUAACACGUGAGUAACCUGCCCUUGACUUUGGGAUAACUUCAGGAAACUGGGGCUAAUACCGGAUAGGAGCUCCUGCUGCAUGGUGGGGGUUGGAAAGUUUCGGCGGUUGGGGAUGGACUCGCGGCUUAUCAGCUUGUUGGUGGGGUAGUGGCUUACCAAGGCUUUGACGGGUAGCCGGCCUGAGAGGGUGACCGGCCACAUUGGGACUGAGAUACGGCCCAGACUCCUACGGGAGGCAGCAGUGGGGAAUAUUGCACAAUGGGCGGAAGCCUGAUGCAGCAACGCCGCGUGCGGGAUGACGGCCUUCGGGUUGUAAACCGCUUUCGCCCGUGACGAAGCGUGAGUGACGGUAAUGGGUAAAGAAGCACCGGCUAACUACGUGCCAGCAGCCGCGGUGAUACGUAGGGUGCGAGCGUUGUCCGGAUUUAUUGGGCGUAAAGGGCUCGUAGGUGGUUGAUCGCGUCGGAAGUGUAAUCUUGGGGCUUAACCCUGAGCGUGCUUUCGAUACGGGUUGACUUGAGGAAGGUAGGGGAGAAUGGAAUUCCUGGUGGAGCGGUGGAAUGCGCAGAUAUCAGGAGGAACACCAGUGGCGAAGGCGGUUCUCUGGGCCUUUCCUGACGCUGAGGAGCGAAAGCGUGGGGAGCGAACAGGCUUAGAUACCCUGGUAGUCCACGCUGUAAACGGUGGGUACUAGGUGUGGGGUCCAUUCCACGGGUUCCGUGCCGUAGCUAACGCUUUAAGUACCCCGCCUGGGGAGUACGGCCGCAAGGCUAAAACUCAAAGGAAUUGACGGGGCCCCGCACAAGCGGCGGAGCAUGCGGAUUAAUUCGAUGCAACGCGUAGAACCUUACCCGGGUUUGACAUGGAUCGGGAGUGCUCAGAGAUGGGUGUGCCUCUUUUGGGGUCGGUUCACAGGUGGUGCAUGGCUGUCAUCAGCUCGUGUUGUGAGAUGUUGGGUUAAGUCCCGCAACGAGCGCAACCCUUGUUCACUGUUGCCAGCACGUUAUGGUGGGGACUCAGUGGAGACCGCCGGGGUCAACUCGGAGGAAGGCGGGGAUGACGUCAAGUCAUCAUGCCCCUUAUGUCCAGGGCUUCACGCAUGCUACAAUGGCUGGUACAGAGAGUGGCGAGCCUGUGAGGGUGAGCGAAUCUCGGAAAGCCGGUCUCAGUUCGGAUUGGGGUCUGCAACUCGACCUCAUGAAGUCGGAGUCGCUAGUAAUCGCAGAUCAGCAACGCUGCGGUGAAAACGUUCCCGGGGCU